GAUGAACGCUGGCGGCGUGCCUAAUACAUGCAAGUCGAGCGAACAGACGAGGAGCUUGCUCCUUCGACGUUAGCGGCGGACGGGUGAGUAACACGUAGGUAACCUACCUAUAAGACUGGGAUAACUUCGGGAAACCGGAGCUAAUACCGGAUAAUAUUUCGAACCGCAUGGUUCGAUAGUGAAAGAUGGCUUUGCUAUCACUUAUAGAUGGACCUGCGCCGUAUUAGCUAGUUGGUAAGGUAACGGCUUACCAAGGCAACGAUACGUAGCCGACCUGAGAGGGUGAUCGGCAACACUGGAACUGAGACACGGUCCAGACUCCUACGGGAGGCAGCAGUAGGGAAUCUUCCGCAAUGGGCGAAAGCCUGACGGAGCAACGCCGCGUGAGUGAUGAAGGUCUUCGGAUCGUAAAACUCUGUUAUUAGGGAAGAACAAACGUGUAAGUAACUGUGCACGUCUUGACGGUACCUAAUCAGAAAGCCACGGCUAACUACGU
rnacentral:rRNA from 1 species